GUGGGGUUCGGCACGAAGUGGUUGACCCGACCGCCGAUCACGGCCAGCGUGCGCUUGCCUUGA
rnacentral:ncRNA from 1 species